CCCUAUUUUUAUCGACUUUGUUUCUCUUCUUGAUAGUUUUUCUUCUUCCUAAUUUUAGCUAAACUUUUGAUUUGUCAUAUGCUCUGUUAUAUUUCUUUCAGUCUAUUUCUGAUUGUUUAUGAUUUCUUUUGCUGUAUUUUUCUCGGUGAGUUUCAAUUAAAAUUUAUUUUCUCCUCUUACUUGAUAUAUAUUUUAAAAUGCUGCACAUGCAUGCAUCUGUAUUUUAGAGUUAUGCAUUUGUAUUUUAGAGUUUUUUUCCUUCAAAUUUCACAAUUUUAGGUCUAAAAAAGUCCCUACUGUGUGCUGUAUGUCAUUCGGUUCUGGUUCUAGUGAUUUUUUCUCUAUUUUUGUUUUUUUUUUUUUCCUUUGCACCCAUUAUUAUGGCAGAACUUUAGUGAAUAUCUGGCUAUUCCUCUAUUAUCAUGAAUAGAUUUUUGUUGGAUUUCACAUCCAUAUGGUCUACAACAUACUUCUAUCAUUCAGCAAUUUGGGAGGUCCUUUUUUGUUGUAAAUUGUAUUAUAUCCUUUGUUGGUAUUAUACAUUUUCAAUAAUCAAAUCGGAAAAAAAAUCACAUACGAACAUGAGGAGUAUAGAUGAAGGAAUGAACUGGAAGCUGGUGAAAGAAAGCAUUAGCAACUUUGAAAUAUCAAAGAUGAUUGGAGAAUGACGUUAAAUUGAAGCAUAUGGAUACUUUCUUGAAGUGCAAUCAUCAUGGUAAAGAAAUCAAUGAGCAACUGAAGAGUAGUAAGAAGGAAAGGCGAAAACUUGCUGAGAGAGUGAUGAUAACACGUCUUAGCCUUUACAACACACGGAUGCAGAAAUGUGAUCAUACUAAAUUAUAUAACAAAAUAUCUGAUAAGAACGUGAAACUGGUGCGUGAACGACUCACUCAAACUAUUAUAUGGCCAUUUGAAGAUGAUGAGAUUGUUGAAAGUUUGGAUUGAUUUAUGUAGAGAAGUCUAGCUCUCUUUGGUGUUUCUGCGCUUCCUUUUUUACAUUAGUCUUGAUGAUAGGCAGAAUUAUUCUCGGGUGUUUGUCAGUGGUUUAAAGUCGUAAUUUAGCCCUGGAUAUGUGAUUAUAUUCCCAACAAAAGGUUGUGGGAGGUGGACUAAGGUAUAAAGUAUAUGAAAGGCAAAUACAUAUAGGCUACAUGCUUUGAUCUAUACAUCAUGCAUGUGUGACCUCAACUUUCAUUGUUUUGAUGGGAUGAAGUAUGUACACUAGCAAUUUUUUUAUGAAUCUUCCCUUUUAGCCUAUAUAUGUAUUCUUAAUCAUGUUAAUAUUAGUAGGCGUUUAAUCACGAGAAUUAAAAUUUUUGAAGUUGAAGUUGUAGUUGGGGCUGUGUUUAGCCAUGAAUAUAAAUUUGAGUCGUUACUGAAUUUUUGUGAGAGAAGUUAGAGCGAAAAAAGUGAAAACUUGUUUUCACUUUUUCAAAUACAACUCCAAGUCAUAUUUGAAAUUCUUAUGGCCAAACACCAUUUUUGAAAUAAAGUGGAAAAGAUUUUCGAAAAAAAGUUAAAUCCACUUGCAAUCAAUGGCUUCUUUCCCUGUUUUCCUUUAUUAUUCACCAUUGCUUUUACUUUUGAAGUUUGUAUUAUCACUAAGGGGUCGUUUGGUAGAGUGUAUUGAAAUGUUAAUGUAUGCAUUAGUUUAAUGUAUAUUAGUAGUACCUUAUUUGGUAUACUUUUUUAUCCUAUGCACUCUAUUAUGUAUUGAGGUGUGUAUUACUAAUACCUCAAAAUCCAUGGCAUUAGUAAUGCAAUGGAUCUAAUGCAUGCAUUAACAUGCUUAAAGAUCCUAUUA